ensembl:lincRNA
AUGUGUAUGGAGUGUGUGUGUUUGCUUGCACACGGAAGCAUUCAUGAUGGAUCCAGGGACCCGAUCCCUCUGUGGCUAUAUUCCUUAGAGCCCUGCCCUGGCUGCAGAGCUACCUGUGGUGUUUCAGUUGUGUGGGACUCUCCCUUCCCUCCACACCGUCUAGGGUAUCUGUGUUGUGACCGUUCCACGGGCCGGAACGUCCUCUCCUCUCGGUGUGUUCUUUCUUUUGUAGGAAACUCGGCAAGAGAGGCCUGGAGAAAGUGGACAGUCAUUCUCUCCUUCUCAAACAAGGUACCUUGUGCAAACCUUCACGAGGGAUCUCUUCCAGGGGAUUACCAACAGGAAAGAACUGGCUCGUCAUAUGGGAACCCCAGAAACUCGAAUCCAGAUAUGGUUUUAAAACUGAAGAGCUCGGAACCCACAGCAGAGACAAAGCGGGCCCGGCAAUGGCUGGGCCCAAGGACCAAGCAGCACAGCAGCCAUGACUACUCCUGCUCCAGAGGACCGAAGGGCCGCACCCGCUGUUCAGAGCUCCUCUUCCCACUAUUAACCCUUCCCGCCAGAGGAGAGCAUUCCACAAUUGGAAGAGGCAAAAUUGAGACCCAGGGAUCCAGUGGUGAGCGAGAAGAAGUGAAAUGGGGUAAGGCCCCUGGCAGAGAUGGGAACUGCGCCCUGGUCUUCGGCACCAGGCUUCCUCAGCAUGAAGACUUCUGUCAAGCACCCAAACUGUCCAGGGAAAAAGAAAGGUCCCAGGGAAUCGCAAAGAAACCAAGGAACCACAGCGCCACCUGCACAGCCAUCCGUAGCAAUGGAUUCUUUGGCCAGCCAGGUUUCUAACCCCAACCACGGGGUUUCACGGGAGAAAAGUCAGGGGUCUGUAUGUACUUCAAAACGGCCGGGUCGACAAAUUCCGGAUCGGGUUUGCAAGUCGAUGAUGUCUGUAUUCUUAGCUCUUGGUGGAUGCCUAGAUGUCUCAUGGUUGGUUGAGGGCCCCGGUGUCCCAGCGCCACCCACCAGCAGCACCGUGGUCAUUCUGUGGCGACCCAAGGGUCGGUGAGUGAGUGGGUGCCCCCGCUAGGCUGCACCCAUGCGCCCUCCUUCUCUUUCUGUUAAGACACAUGGUUCCUCUGAGCUCGACCAGGCUGGCUUGAGAUGCUGAGAGGCGACGGGAGGGAGGAAGGGCCGGACUGCCGGCUGAGGGCUUCAGCGGGGAGGGGGUGCUGGCAACAAAGAGCCCUCCUCUCCCUGCCCCCGCUGGAUGUGCGCGAGAAGCUGGGGGGCUGAAGAGGCCAGCAGCGAUGUGGAGCCUGUGCGCAUGGAGCUGGGAGGCGGCAGGCGGCGGGAGGGGGCCGGGGAGGUCGGCAUCCUCUGCAGCGGUGCCGGCGAGCCCGCCCGGGGCUCCUUCUUCCUGGGGCCCGGGCGCGCCAGGACCCCUUGGUCUGGCAGAAUGGCGCAGGGCUGCUGAGAUCUGGUGAGACAGGGUUCCCCUCCUGAGCGCCAGGGCGCGACAGUAGCAAGCGGAAGGGCAAGGGUGUGAGCAGCCAGGCCGCGUCGCGGGAGGGCCGCUGUGGCGGGGAGGUGUUCCAUACUGACGGGCACCCUGGCGAGACCGGGAAGACCCAGGCUCCGCGGUGGGCCAGACCCUUGGCCAGGGCGUGGCAGGAAGAAACCUUCAGCGGGAGGUGUGGGCACACCCUGGCUACAUCCCAGUGGGAAGUCAAAUGAGCAUGGGAGCCCGGGACAAGAGGCCAGAGUCCUUGCUGGGGAAAGAGCAAAGGGAAGGGAGUCAAGCCAUGAGGUCUGUGCCAGAACGGGCCUUUCCAGCCUGGACCCGGGCCACUGCGGCGGAUGUGUGGGGGUGGUGGGAGACGAGCGGGAGCCAUGGGAGAGCCCCAGCCUGCUGCUGCAGGAGAGCCCAGAGGAGACUCCCCGCAAGAGGCGCAGGAGGUCUGCCAGGGCCCGGGCGGCGGCCUGGGCUCUGCCUCCAGUCGGCGCCGCGGAGGAGUGCAGGGGGCCCCAUGGGUCUCCCAGGUGCCUGCGCCCCAGCUCUGGGGAGACCCUGCCAAAGAGACAGAGAAGGUGUGCCAGAGGCCCAGCGGCAGCAGCGAGUGAGGCGGCAGCGGUGGCGGGCUGGGCCCCUCCUCCCACUGGCCCUUCGGAGAGGGGCGGGGAGCCCAGGAGCUGGGGGCGUCGGGGGGCUCGCUAAGUUCAGGUCCCCAGUCCAGGGAACCUUCUCCUGAAGAGACCCUCUGCCCUCUGCAUCCCGCCCUCCCCUUGCUGGGCUGGGUGGCGGCCAGGAGCUGGCAGCCUCGGGGGCUCCGCAUGGUCAGGGCCCCAGCUCAAAGGAGAUUCCGCUGACGAGAUGGGGGAGGUCUGCCAAGGAUCCAGGGAGCUGCCAUCUGUGACCCACCAGGGUCUCGGCUGGAUGCACGGUGGCCAGGAGCUGGGACCCACGUGGGGCUCACUAGGUUCAGGGCCCCAGUCCAGGGAACAUUCUGCCUAAGAGACGGAGGACGUCUCCCAGGGCCACGGGGCACCCGGCGGGCUGCCCUCUGUGUCCUGCCGUCCCCUCACAGGGCUGCAGGGUGGCCAGGAGCUGGAGGCCUCGGGGGGCUCCACAGGGUCAGGUCCCCAUCCCAAAGGAGAUUCCGCUGACAAGACAGGGGUGGUCUACCAGGGAUCCAGGGAGCUGGGGUCUGCCACCUGCAGGGGUCUCGGCGGGAUGCAGGGUGGCCAGGAAUUGUGGGCGUUGGGGGGCUCCGCGGGAUCUGGGUCCCAGCCCUGGGAGACUCCUUGGAAGAGACCGGAGAGGUCUGCCAGGGCCCCAGCGGGCUGGCCUCUGCGUCCCGCUGGUGCCUCUAGCUGCUGCACGGGUCCCCACCCCAGCUCAGGGGAGACCCAGAGGAAGAGGAAGACACUGAGGAGGUCUGCCGGGGAGUGGGAAUACUAGACCACCUGACCUGCCUCUUGAGAAACAAUAUGCAGGUCAGGAAGCAACAGUUAGAACUGGAUAUGGAACAACACACUGGUUCCAAAUAGGAAAAGGAGUAUGUCAAGGUUGUAUGUUGUUAUCCUGCUUAUUUAACUUAUAUGCAGUGUACAUCAUGAGAAACGCUGGGCUAGAGGAAGCACAAGCUGGAAUCAAGAUUGCUGGGGAAAAUAUCAAUAACCUCAGAUAUGCAAAUGACACCACCCUUAUGGUAGAAAGUGAAGAGGAACUAAAAAUCCUCUUGAUGAAAGUGAAAGAGGAGCGAAAAAGUUGGCCUAAAGCUCAACAUUCAAAACACUAAGAUCAUGGCAUCUGGUCCAAUCACUUCAUGGGAAAUAGAUUGGGAAACAGUGGGAACAGUGUCUGACUAUUUUGGGAGGCUCCAAAAUCACUGUAGAUGGUGAUUGCAGCCAUGAAAUUUAAAGACGCUUACUCCUUGGAAAGAAAGGUAUGACCAACCUAGGUAGCAUAUUAAAUAGUAUAUUAGAUAGCAAAGUAAUAUCUAACAAAGGUCCAUCUCAUCAAGGCUAUGGUUUUUCCAGUAAUCAUGUAUGGAUGUGAGAGUUGGACUGUGAAGAAAGCUGGGUGCUGAAGAAUUGAUGCUUUUGAUCUGUGGUGUUGAAGAACACUCUUGAGAAUCUCUUGUACUACAAGGAGAUCCAACCAAUCCAUCCUAAAGAUUAGUCCUGAGUGUUCAUUUGAGGGACUGAUAUUGCAGCUUAAACUCCAAUCCUUUGGCCACCUAACACAAAGAGUUGACUCAUUUGAAAAGACCCUGAUGCUGGGAAAGAUUGAGGGAAGGAGGAGAGGGGGAUGACAGAUGAGAUGGUUGGAUGGCAUGACUGAUUCAAUGGACAUGAGUUUGGGUAAACCCUCAGAGUUGGUGAUGGACAGGGAGGCCUCGCGUGCUGAGGUUCAUGGGAUCACAGAGAGUUGGACACGACUCAGCAACUGAGCUGAACUGAACUGAAUAUUUUGGCAUAUGGUAGUCAUCAUCUCAUGGGCUAAAAUAAAUAAAGUAAAUAUGCUAAACCUAAAUAAUCACCAGGAAGAUCUGAAACCCUGACAUUAAUGGCGUCUCUCUGUAUGAAGUCAUAGUAAAUACAUUGUUCACAGUCAAAUCAAAAUAUUUAUGUAAUAAUAUACUCAAUGUUAAUAUAAAUGAUUCUAAUUUUUAAACUAUAACACUAAAUGUCUGUAUUUAACAUUAUUCCUAGCUAAAUUCUUCCAAGAACCUUUAAAUACUUCUUUCUUCCCUUUUUAAUAUAUAAAUUUAUUUUAAUUGGAGACUAAUUGCUUUACAAUAUUGUAGUGGUUUUGCCGGAGAAGGCAAUGGCUCCCCGCUGCAGUACUCUUGCCUGGAAAAUCCCAUGGGUGAAGGAGCCUGGUAGGCUGCAGUCCAUGGGGUCUCGAAGAGUCGGACACGACUGAGCAACUUCACUUUCACUUUUCACUUUCAUGCAUUGGAGAAGGAAGUGGCAACCCACUCCAGUGUUCGUGCCUGGAGAAUCCCAGGGACGGGGGAUCCUGGUCGCUGCCGUCUAUGGGGUCACACAGACUCGGACACGACUGAAGCGAUGCAGCAGCAGGAGCAGCAGCAGCAGCAGUGGUUUUUGCCAUACAUUGACAUGGAUCAAAUAUUUCUCUUUUUAAGCCAAUCAACAACUAAGAUCAAAGUGGUAGAAACAGUUACUGUUCCUUUUAUUAUUCUAAGGAUUUGCAACCUUCUCAAGAAGUUUAGUUACCAGAAUUACACAAAAGGGCAGAGUUGAACUGGGCAAAAAUUCAUGUUGCUAUUCCUAUUAAGGUUCGAUGUUCACAAUAUCACUUUUUAAAGUGCACUAAAUAUGUAUGGAAUUUCACUGUCAUAAAGUUUCAAUACAAUGUACUUGAUUGCCUAUAAUAAAAUGUCUUUGACAGGUUGAAAAUAUUUUGAAGUACUUGACUUUGUUCAAAGUAAUAUUAAUUUGUCUUAUGAAUAGCAAUCAGUUCAGUUUAAUCACUCAGUCAUGACUCUUUAUGACCCUAUGGACUGUAGCAUGCUAGGCUUCCCUGUCCACCACCAACUCCAGGAGUUUACUCAAACUCAUGUCCGUUGAGUCGGUGAUGUCAUCCAACCAUUUCAUCCUCUGUCAUCCCCUUCUCUUCCUGCCUUCAAUCUUU